GAGAGAGAGAGAGAGAGAGAGAGAGAGAGAGAGAGAGAGAGAGAGAGAGAGAGAGAGAGAGAGAGAGAGAGAGAGAGAGAGAGAGAGGUGGAAUCGGGAGCUCCGUGUUUCUCCAGAUGGCGUUCUAAACGCAGACAGAAGGCUACGGAGGGACCGAGAGAGGACCAGAGAGCAGAUUGCCUUUCCUUCGCUGGAUUUCAAUGACUGAGGAAAAAAGUGGACAGAAGACCAUACUGAAUCAUCUUAACCAAAUAGAUGUUGACGGGAAAACACGCGUCGGUUGUUAAAAUACCCAACAGUUGAACACAACACGGAGACACAAUUGUUGAAAACGGACCAGCGGAGCGGUUUUGCUUGGAGAGAUCGUUGCGGCGGUCAAGAGUUGCUUUCAACAAGCGCAGCAACAGAGAGACACACAGACAGACAGAGAGACAUACAGUCAGACAGACAGAUAGACAGGCGGCCCUACGGUCUGAAUAAACACAAAGACCACACUACUGGACCUUAACAGUUCCUGCCGCCUGAAAUCACGGAGAAUGUUCUCGACCUGAGCAAGGGGAUUUAAAGUUGUCCCACGGGGACGAGCCAGCGGAGUGCCGUGUGAGAUCCUGGUGGGAGAUCCUGGUGGGUGACCCCGCAGGGAGAGAGGAGAACAGGCCACUCCGGACGCUUCAAGAGUCAAACAAACAAACAAACAACAAGGCGCGUUGGGUUUAAUUCAAACGUUCAACGGGGCGUUUUCGUAGCAGAACGUAAACUUUGGUGAUUCCUAAGAUGGGUGAGAUAUUGAACCAGAGUGCGGAUGCGUGACGGGAGCAACUUUUCCAUUUCUCUCUUCCUCCGCGUCAGAAUAAGCGACAAAGACAGUGUAUACCAAAGACUUGUAUGUGCUCCAGUGUCCGACCACCUGGCUUGGUGUUUAUCCAGACAUUAUCUGGAUGAUAUAUACCUCAUAAGUCAUACACAAGGAGAGUGAACAAUCCAUUGGGAUAUCUUUGACUGGACAGUGAAUAAGGGAGAGAAAAGGAAUUAUUCCCUGAGUAGCCUACAUUUUUUUGAUUCCUGAAGGCUUCAUAGGCUACGUAUUUCCCCCAAAUAAUGAGGAUUGUGGCGUUUUGAGAGUUGUUUCAAUAUAUUCCGUGUGGAUUAUCAAUAACCCUGCUACUCUUCGACCUUUACAGAAGAAUGGUUCCAUAAGAGAGCGCUAAGAGGAAGAGGAAGCAGUUUCAGUAGUCUACAGUAGCUGUAGUUCAGCACUAACGGACAGGGGAAGUUCUGGUUGCCACGGCUCCCUGAUGUAAGGCCAUCCUGCCCUUCCCUUCUCCUUUUCACCAUGCAGGCACACACGCAAACACAGACACACGCACACACGCACAUAUGGUGAUACUGCGUCACAUGACAUGACAAUAGCCUAGCAAAAAUAAGGGAGAUGUCAAAAAAAUAUUCUAAUUAUGUGUGUUAUUAAAUUCCGAGGCACCACUUAUUACGCCCUCCAUUUUACUCAUUGGAUUGAUUCUGUUUAAAUAAAUGAUGGUGGUGAUGAAGGUACGAGUGAACAAAUUAAAAUGCUGAUUGAUUUGAAAAAAAAAGGCAACAUUAUAUAUAACUGGCCACGAUAUUAUUAUUCACCAUGCAUUGUUAUUAGACAUAUUUACGUCAACCGUUAAUAAUCUCAAUACGUGUCAGCGUUACCAGAGCGACUGAAGAAGGAUUUUAUUUAACUCGACCCUGGCAGCGCUGAUAUAAAGCCCUAUGGUUUACAAUACAUCUAAUAGGUACAUCCGUGUUUUCUCCCUCUCUCUCCCUCUCUGCCUCAGUCCCUCUCUCCACCUCUGUCCCUCACCCUCUCCAUCCCCCUCUCCCUCUCCCUCUUUCGCUCCGUUAUCUGGUGAAAACAGAGCUAGGGCAGGCAGAUGGUUUCUUCCUCAUUCAGAUCAUGGUCUGCACGGCCCUGUUAGCCGUUAGCAACACAGCCGCUAAUCUCUGCACUGCCUCCGUUCCUGCUAGCUCUCAAUCUGCUUGGCGCACAUACAACUGUGCGUGUGUGUGUGUGUGUAUUUAAAUAUAGUAUGUAUGUCUGUGUUUAGAGAAUAUGUGUGUGUGUGUGUGUGUGUGUGUGUGUGUGUGUGCAUAUCUAUACAUGCGUGUGUUUGUGUGUGUGUUUGUGUGUGUGCGUGUGUGAAUGCGUGUGUGUGCGUGUGUGUGUGUGUGUGUGUGUGCGUGUGCGUGUGUGUGUGUGUGUGAAUGGAAACCAUCCUACGGGGCCCUCAGUAGCUUUUCCACGCCUCACUGGCGUCAGGAGCCUCAAGGGCCAGGCGAGAGUCAUGUGACGCGUGCCGGCAGUGAGGUGUGUUGCGUUUGUGUGUAUGUGUGUUACACUGUGAUGUGUCUGUGAUGGCGUCGCGGCACGAAGAUGCCUGUCAUCCCUGACAGCUUGCGGUGGCGCCCGGCAUACGCUCCGUGCUGCGUGGCGUUCCUCGGUGACAGACAGUGGGCGAGUGGCGAGGAUCUGAUCCUCCCGGCUCCCCUCACCUCACACACACACACACACACACACACACGCACACGCACACGCACACGCACACGCACACGCACACACACAAACACACCGCAGCCCUUUGGUCGAGAGAGAUGAACUUAGAACCUACCUAGGGUGGGACAUGGACACAAGAGAGAGAGAAAGAAGAACAUAGGAAGAAAGAGAGAGAACGAGUCCAGUGGACAGAGAAAUGGGGAAGGGAGUAGGAGGAGGCGGGCAGGAAGGAGAGAGAGAGGCGGGAGGGAGGAGGAGGAGGCGAGAGAGAGAAGAGGGAGAGAAGGAGAGUGAGGAGGAGUAGAGAGAGGAGGAAGGGCCCAGGAGGGAGAUAAUGGUGAGAGGAGAGCAACAGGGCAGCAGCUGCCAGGAGUCACACACCUGCUAAACAGGAAGUGGGCUCUGGCCACUACUUCCUGGAAACAUCUUCUCUAACACUGUUACUAGGCAACAGACGGGAAGCACGUAGUAUACAGAUAGAUAGAUAGAUAGAUAGAUAGAUAGAUAGAUAGAUAGAUAGAUAGAUAGACAGAUAGAUAGA
ensembl:lncRNA